GCGUGAACAAGCCAACGGGCAAGGGAAAGUGCUUCAAAUGCGGCAAGGUUGGGCAUUGGAAGAAAGAUUGUCCAGUGCUCAAGGCAAAGGGACAAGGGCUUCAAGCCAACAAGGGAGCUAGCAAGUGAUGAGAUCACCAUCUCCAUGGGCAAUGCGUCGAAGGUCGCAGCUGUUGCUAUUGGAGAUUUAUCUUUAUGUUUUGGUGAUGACAUUUUAGUUUUGAGAGAUAUUUUGUAUGUGCCGGAGUUUCGGCGGAACAUAAUUUCUGUUUCAAAAUUGUUUUUGAAUGGAUAUUCUGUUAUUUUUGAUA